rnacentral:misc_RNA from 1 species
UGUUCGAGCGUCAUAAUGACCAACUCACCUCACGGUGGUCUUGGGGCUGGCCGGCUGGCCUCCCUUAAAAUCAGUGGCGGUGCUGUCAAGCUCUAAGCGUAGUAACUUUUCUCGCUACAGGGUCUUGAUAGUAUCUUGCCAAAACCCCAACUUUUUACAAGGUUGACCUCGGAUCAGGUAGGGAUACCCGCUGAACUUAA